GGGCUGAUGAAGGUCCGCCCCCCACCCCCUCCCCAACUCUGCUCUGCUUCUGAAG
rnacentral:snoRNA from 1 species